GACGAACGCUGGCGGCGUGCUUAACACAUGCAAGUCGAACGGAAAGGCCCUGCUUUUGUGGGGUGCUCGAGUGGCGAACGGGUGAGUAACACGUGAGUAACCUGCCCUUGACUUUGGGAUAACUUCAGGAAACUGGGGCUAAUACCGGAUAGGAGCUCCUGCUGCAUGGUGGGGGUUGGAAAGUUUCGGCGGUUGGGGAUGGACUCGCGGCUUAUCAGCUUGUUGGUGGGGUAGUGGCUUACCAAGGCUUUGACGGGUAGCCGGCCUGAGAGGGUGACCGGCCACAUUGGGACUGAGAUACGGCCCAGACUCCUACGGGAGGCAGCAGUGGGAAUAUUGCACAAUGGGCGGAAGCCUGAUGCAGCAACGCCGCGUGCGGGAUGAGGGCCUUCGGGUUGUAAACCGCUUUCGCCUGUGACGAAGCGUGAGUGACGGUAAUGGGUAAAGAAGCACCGGCUAACUACGUG
rnacentral:rRNA from 1 species